rnacentral:rRNA from 2 species
GACGAACCGGACAAACGUUAUUCGGAAUUACUGGGCUUAAAGGGUUUGUAGGCGGCCUUGUAAGUCAGGUGUGAAAUCCCUCGGCUCAACCGAGGAAUGGCGCUUGAUACUGCACGGCUUGAGGGAGACAGGGGUAAGCGGAACUGAUGGUGGAGCGGUGAAAUGCGUUGAUAUCAUCAGGAACACCGGUGGCGAAAGCGGCUUACUGGGUCUCAUCUGACGCUGAGGAACGAAAGCUAGGGGAGCGAACGGG